UGCCGGGUAUGCUAAUGGUAGGCACCCGCGCUCUGAACGCGGUAGUCUUGGUUCGAAUCCAAGCCCGGCAG
rnacentral:tRNA from 1 species